GACGAAGGUGGCAAGCGUUGUUCGGAAUCACUGGGCAUAAAGAGCACGUAGGCGGCUAAGUCAGUCGGAUGUGAAAUACCUCGGCUCAACCGAGGAACUGCGUCCGAUACUGCUUGGCUUGAGGUCCGGAGGGGAGAGUGGAAUUCCCGGUGGAGCGGUGAAAUGCGUAGAGAUCGGGAAGAACGCCGGCGGCGAAAGCGACUCUCUGGUCGGAAUCUGACGCUGAGGUGCGAAAGCUAGGGGAGCAAACGGG
rnacentral:rRNA from 2 species